CCUGCAUGGCGGUGCCCAGAUCAUUCCACGCGCUCCGUCUCAUCACGUAGGCAUUUUAUCAUCUCAGGCGGGCUCAGUAAGGGAGCAAGCCCCAGGAGGUGGUCUUGGUGUCCUGUCACAGCAACCAGAGGGUGUGAUGCUCUUCCCCUGAGAGUUAUGGCCAUGUGGGAAAGGCCCUGGCCUGGGAGUCAGGAGACCUCUGGUCCUGCUUGUGUCUGCCCCUAACCUACGAGUCAUCUUGGGUGGGCAGCUUUCUUCCAAUUGGUGUUUCAGGGACUUGGAUUCUUACCAUCUUAUGGCUUUCCCAUCCAUCAUGGCUUUGGAGUCCUCUGCAUAUAGCUGAAGAAAGGGAAAAGCAGGGUGGAGAAUCCCUACCAACUUCUUAAAAGCCCUGGUCUAAAAGUGCCAUACACCAUUCAUUGCUGAUGCAACAUUGAUACAAGGGGGCUGGCUAUGUUCUGGACUGGGCUGCUAUCUCUCAGUGUGAAUUUUUGAACAAAAUCAGGACCAAUGCAUCCGAAGUGCACAGGAAGCAGAUUUCAUCUUGAUCCAACAAUGAGCUUCCUAUCAAUUCCAUGUAUUCCGUUAUAGAAUGGGCUGCCUCAAGGAGGCCUGGAUGGAGUUCUUGGAGGCAGUUAAGCUAACAAUGGGUGCAUAAGACUUUUCUUCUUCCAUCAUAAUUGCCACGUCUCAGGACCACGUCCCCUCCCAGCAUUUGCAGUAUUUGAGCAGGAAGAGGAGAAGUGGAGGCAAGAGGGAAGGGAGAAACCAUGAGACAUAGCUGAAUGUUGCACUGACGGUGGCCACCAGCCAUGCUAGCUUCCUCUUCUUGUGUCAUCUGCUCAUCCUCAACACCUGUAAUUGUUUGCUUUCUGUGGCUCAUAACCACCACCAGCCACUGCUGCCUGGACCAGUGAAAGACACAUAACCCAAAGUGAAUCACCGUCCAAGUGCAUGAGGGGAUGCUGGUGUCAGUACAGUAAAGGUGCUUACCUGGCAGUCAUGUAAAGUUCAGCCUCAGGUAUGGGUCUGGGUCCCGAUUAAAGAAGACAGAAUGGACCUGAUGCCAAAGAGAAGUGGAGCCCAGAGGGACAGAAAGAGAAGCUGACAUUUCCGACUUCUACUCCAGCCCUGUGAGAUCCAUCUGUGUUUGUUUGAGUCUUGGGUUUUCUGUGAGGUUCCUUGCUACAUCUUCUUAAGAAAAACCCUAGGUGUUUUCAAAAUAGCUUCAGUGAGUUUCUUUCCACCCCCACCCCCCAACACCGAGUGACCCUUAACUUGGGCAGGAAAUGACUCUUCCUUCUUUCAGUGAGGAAAGUUCUGGAAAAUAAGACUCUCUAGUCCAAGAAUUAUGGGAUUGAUUCCAUAUCAUCAUUGGCUCUGGGUAUCAUUAGGCCUCCACUUCUCUGCUGUAAAAAAGUAGAUCACCCCACAAUCUUUGCAUCCUGCUUACUCCUGAGUACUGUGUAGUGACAUUGGACAGUGGCCCUGAAGAAUGGAAAGUGUGGGAACAAUGUUGGGAAGGGACAGUCCCUUGAAGCUGAGCUCUAACGACUGUGGUUUCAGUGACGGGGCAGGACAUGUCUGUUUUGCUCAUUGGUUGCUGGAGCACUGCUGCGGUUUGGACGCAUCUCAGUUCUGCUCAGGGCUAAGGCAUUGAAUGUCCCCAGGAUCAAUGUAAACAACCACGUAAAUCAAUAUAAACAAUUAAAAUAGAUUUUAGUAGAAGGAUAAAUAGAAGUCCUAGAAAUAGCUGGUGAAGUCACCCCUACUUGGUGGUGGGUUUUGGGAAUUUCUCUACCCUUUUAAGUACCUGCUGAUGUACAGAAAAAUAUAAAGGUUAUGAGGGCUGCCUAUCUACCAGGCUGCCCUCAGUUUUCUUGUCUCUAAAGUAGGGGAAUGGGUAAUAGAUGAGAUGAGUUGUAGAGGUCCUUCCAGCAUUGUGGUUGAGCAUGAGUGGCAUAGCAAGAUCAGUGGUUUAAGAAUCCACAGAGAUGUUAUGCAACAGAUCUUCCUGCAUAAUACCUGCCAGAGGGGGCCAGUUAAUAAUAGCGUGUAAGUGGUUGUUAUGGGUCGAGUGAUGAGGAAGUUCAGUUCAUGUUCUUUGAAAAAAUUCAGUGUGUCAUUCCCAGGAUGGAUUUUCAAGCAAAAUGAAAUUUCCACUGUAAGCGCAGCCAAAUGUAGGGAACUGCCAGGAAAGAUUAAGGUUAAAGUCUAUGAGGGUCGGGUCAGGGAAGCAGGGUUUUAAUUAAAUGAAGCAAUGGUUAUAAAGCUCUUACCUAGUGUUUUUCAUGUAACAGGUACUUGGUAUAGUCAAGUCCUUUUCUUUCUUCUUCCCCUUUUCAUUCAUCUUUCACUUUCCAACACUCUGCUGCUUAAGAUUCCUAUAACCACACGCUGGGUCAUUUAAUUUGCCUCCCUAGGAAACUAGCAAAACUCAUUCCCAGUUGAAUUAAAGUCAUUCCUAGUGCCAAGAAAGGACAGUGGAAGAGGAUAAAGGGAAUUCCGGGGUGGAAUGAUUCAACUACUUGCAGAGAAAAGAUUCAUUAUGGGUAAAUGCUUGCUGGCUGACCAUGGAAAUGGAAUGCAAGUCAAAUAUUUUGAGGAUGACAUGAAAUGCUGAGUAGAUGAAAAGGAUGUGAAAGCCAGUCCGAGCUAGGAUGAAGCAAUGAUAUUUUAAAUUUAAUUAGGGGUUUCUUAUAGUAGAAUCAACUUCAUGGUGUUACAUGUUUAGGAGUUCAGGAGAUAUUACAACAAUAAACUAUUGUAGGACAAGAUGAUUAAAAAACACUUUAUGAGAACUAUGGCUUAGCAUAUAUCAUUCAGAAAAUACAUAAAGAUAACUUCUGCUUUUUAGAGCAUAAUCUGUGUCUUUUGAGGGAGGGGAUGGAGUGGGGCCCAGCUUUGGAGCCAACAGGAGGAAAUAUAAUGGGAUACUGAAGAACGAAGGGAGAAAGUUCGCAUGGCUCUGACUGCUUUCCUCUCCCUGGCAACAGUUACUUGCUAUCCUGCAGCCACGCAUGCGUUGCAAUGAAAUUAAAUAGGAAACCAGCCUCUUGGGGGCAUUGAGAACUCCACUUGUCAAGGCCCGAUGGUCGUAAACUUGAUUUUGAUGUUUACAAAAGCUGAGGUUCUAUUAGUGGUGCUGCGUGGAUGAAGACUCACGAAACACACGCACAAACCAAAGGCACAGAGCUCUUCCACUCACAGAGCUCUUCCACGCACAGAGCUCUUCCACGCACAGAGCUCUUCCAUGCACAGAGCUCUUCCAUGCACAGAGCUUCACAGUUCUUCAGCACUCCCCCUCUGGAUCCUACUUAGUACUUAAAAUAACUUUGCAAGGCAGGAAUCAAUUUCCUUGUAUUUAGAUGAGGAAACUAAGGCUCAGAAUUUAAGUGAUUUUCCCAAGUCAUCUGGCAAAGUAGGAAGUUCAGAUUUCCACUGCUAAACUCAGUUUCCUUUCCCACAACACCUGCCUCUAUUGAUUAGUACUUGUCCAAGGGCUCCUCUAAGGCUUAUGCUCACUGCGAAAAUCAUUAUAUUGAGAAAAUUUAGUUUGUCCCGUACCCAGCUGCUGUUCUCAUUUUCUGCCACCAGUUUAAUCCGGUUUUGCAAUGAUCUAUCUCAGUAGUUUUCCAACUUCAGGAUGCAAAAGCAGCACUGAACAUCUUUUUAAAAUGCAAAUUAAUGGUUUCCAUCUCCAGAAAUACUGAGACAGUAGAUCUGGGGAAGGGCCAGGAAUGAGCAUUUCAUGAGCGCUCAGAGUGAUUCUGUUUCCUGUAAGGGACCACACUUUGAAAACACGGGUCCAAUUAUGUUUCCACUUCCUGCCACAGUAACAAAUGGAGAGCUAGAUCAUUUGCUUUCCGCCAGUUUUUGUCUCUGGAUUCAUGUUUUAGCUCCCCUGUAUCAUCCUAUGCGUCAAUAUUUCCAAUAGGUUCUUCCUGGAAUUAUGACUCUGCCACUGAAUUCUGCAGCUUUUUCAUCCCUAGAUAUGAUUAAAGUUUUCUUAGUAUCGUUUGUCCUGGACACUCCUGUCGUUUAUGGUUCAGAUUUCACAUGGGAUGGUGGCAUAGAUCUAUGAAAUCUUUUAUCAGUUAUAAUUUUUGUAGCUUGAGUAGCUUUGAAUUUGGUGUAAUAAGCAAUGUCAAAAAUUUAGAGUUAAAAAAUAUUUUCAAUUACUCUUCCACCAACCGUGGCAAUGUGAUUGUAGUAAUUCACUUAAUUUCCAGGAGUCUUGGUUUCCUCGUCUUUGUCAUGAGGAUAAUGACAUCUACCUCCCAGGGUUGUCAUGAAAAUUAAAGAAGAUAAUAUAUAUUGAUUUUAUAAUUAUAUAAUUUAUAGAAUUGACUAUAGAAAUGCCUAUGGAUUUCAUCAGUGUUGGUUCCAGAUUAGAGUGUUACCACUGACUGUUUUCUCAAGGGUAGUGUCAUUGAAACAAAGCUGGGUUGCAGAAACUGGUUUCAUUCAAUUAAUUGGGCUUAGCCUCACCUCAGGGUUUUUGUGCAUGAGCCCUGUGAAUGGAUGGUUUUAGGACAGAUGAGCAAAGAGACACCAAAGAGACCAGCAUGGCAUCCAUUUCCCUAAGCUUGCCAUGAGGACCACGUGUGGUCUUUAUGUGGAGAGCAGGCAGUGUGUCACACGUGAAAAGAAUGCACAGUGCAGAGUUUCAGAGAGGGCUACCCCUGCUUGUGCAUUGAGGCUAGCGUGCAUGUGUUAAGGCAGCGAAGCCUGAGGAGAGCACAGCCCUGCUGGUAACCUUAAGGGUCCAGUCUUGGGAACAACAGAAGUCCCAGGAAGAAGAGCAGCGCUGGGUUCUUAGUAGGCGCUGUCAGCCGCAGGAGGAGCAGAGAAUGUCCUUGAGGGGGCCUCUGAAGGGGAAGAAUGGUAAGCGUGCAUGGAUCGCCUCUGGGAACCCAGAGAAAUAACUGGGGUGACUUGGGGAGGGAUGCAGAGCGCUUAGCUCCGGGGCUUGUGCAGAUGGAAGUUCUCCAGGCUCAGUCUGGCUUGGAUGUUCCUUACUGUCAAUUCUUUGUCAAGUACCUCACCUCCUAUAUGCUGUUGAGAUGCCAAAAUCUGUACCUCUGGCUGAGGCUUGCCCUCUAAGCUCCAAACCCACAUAUAUUCUGUCUGCUCACAGGUCCCCUUGAUGCAUUUGGGCCCUUCAAACUCAACGCAGCCCCCAAAGCAUCAUCGGUCAACAACGCAACCCGAUGCUGCUCUUGUAUGCCUUAGGUCAGUGUAUGGUUCCAUCCAGUGAAACCAAGCAGCUCCCUUUUCCUUCUGUCACCAUUUUGAUCCAGUCUAUCAUGCAGCCCUGCCAAUUAUACUCCUAAAUAUUCAUGACUCGGGCUAUAUUUCUCCAUCCCACAGCCAUCAUUGUGGUUCAAGAUAUCAUAUCUUUCCACUGCACUUCUCCUGAGCAAGCUCUUUGGUUUCCCCGCAUCCAUUCUUGCCUUCCCUCGCUCUACUUUGAAUAGCUGCCGGAAGGAUCUUUUAAGCAGACAAAUCUUAUUGCGUCAUUCCCCAGCUUAGAUCCGCAUUCCCAAGGUGAAGACUACACACUUUAAUGAGGCUGGUGUAGCCAUGCGUGCGGGGACCAGGCUGACUCUUACUCUUUCCCCUGUCCUGUCUGUUCCAGUCUGAGGGGUCUCCCCUGCACUGUGGAGACGCCCAACUCAUUCCCACCUCUGGAGCUUCUCACCUGUGUUUUUGCUGGAGCCAGAGACUCUUCUCCCUCUUCUUUUUCUAGUUAAUACCUUGCAUUAUAUGCCAGUCAGAGAACCCUGAUGGGGGUGUUUUUUUUUUAAUAAUUUUUUUUUACUUGAGUGUAGUUGACAUGCAAUGUUACAUUAUUUUCAGGUGCACAACAGAGUGACUCAACAUCUCUAUAUGUUUGCUGUGUUCCCCGCAAGUGUAGCUACCAUGUGUCACCAUCCAUCGCUAUGCCAGUACAUUGACUAUAUUCCCUAUGCUGAUGAGAUAUUAAGGACAAAACAAAAAGCCUUUCUCUAUGCUGUAUUCCCUCAGUACCUUGUACUUUCCCCUCAAGCUGCGUGGGGUAUAGCACAUUGUCUAUACUUUUCUCUAAAGUGUACUUUUCUCUCUCUUGGGGAGGGAAUGUGUCCAUUGCAUUUACUUUCCUGUCACGAGUGCCUAGCACAGAUGACACGGUACUCAGCAAACAUUCAGUAAACACUCACGCAGUGAUUGCUUCAAUCUGAAAUCCUGAGACCGUUUCUUUCCAAGUGUGUCACAGAAACCUCGUGCUCAGCAGGACUCUACCCCGUGGCUUGUCAAACCUCCGUGGUAAUGGGGCCAGAUUGACACACGUGGCAGGCAUCUAGGAUUGUUAACUAAACAGCCACAAUUCUUUCUUUCCUCUGAAAGUAAUUACUGGUUGCUAAAUAUUCAAACGUGCAUUGAAAAAGCAGCUCAUUACAUUAUGUUAAGAAAUAAAUUACUAUUUCUAAUUGCUUCUAGUAGUUAAUUACUUCUAAUUAUUAGUCUGAGUAAUAAAUUACUGCUUCUGAUUAUGUUGUGGGCACAGAGCAUUCAAAAAUGCAAUUUUCAUGGUUGUUUACAUCAGAACAUGUUUACUGAAUUAUAGAGCCAUAAUUACCCCGAAUAACUGGUAGCAAAAAAUAAUAAACAUUUGAUAAAUUCAAUUGAAAUAUGUCAUUUCUUUGUCAGCUUAUUUAAGAGAUCAAGCAUUAAAAUGAAACAACCAUGCUUGACUUUUCCAGUCUCUUCAGGGGGUAACAAUAUGUUAAAAUCAGGAUUUUUGUUUUGUUUUGGUUGAAUAAGAACUAAAUUAGAAUUACUUUUGUUAUUUAAAACAAUAAAGAAAAUAUUCAGACCUCCAAUGCUGUUAAAAAUCAGGUUGUACAACCAGCAUACAACUCAU